rnacentral:lncRNA from 1 species
CUUUAUUAACGUAUUUUGAGCUUUUAGACUUUUUAAGAUUUAUAGGUUCUCUGAUUCCUUCAAACCCUAUACUAACACACAUCCAUUCGUAAGUUGUCAAAAGAUCUCCAAAAAAAGGUAAAGAAGAAGCAGCUCAGGGGAAAUGACCUCCUAUUGACUUUUCACAACCGUUGUCCUGGAGUUCAAAUGUCCUGUAGAAGAAAGUCAUCACUGGUGUACUAAGUAACAGAUGUUGAUCAAGAACAGGUCAGUAAAGGAAAAUAUAGUACAAACCUCGAUUGUAUUACUGCUUAAUAAUAUUACAGUUUCAUUAUCUUUGUUUAUGGAAAGAUUUUAAUAGUUAUAAAGGAGGAGAAAAUAGGAUCUGUUUGGUUAUAAAAACUCCACCAGUAAAAUAGUAAAAUAGUAGAACUAAAAUAGUUCCAUUUCUGCUCUGUUUGUAGCUGCGCUGUUUGGUUUGUAAGCGCUGCAUCGUUGCUAGGUUACCUGUAUGUGGCGGAGUAAUACAUGGAGAGCUUCACACAGGGCAUUACCGGCUGAUAACGGUCUCCACAAGAAACACGGCAGUGAUUGUCCACCACCUACACUGCACUGCACAUGCAAGAUGGCAGAGUGCAGAAAGAAACAUUUAUGUGAAACCGACCGUCUAAAUACCACUGCAUCAAAAAACUCCAAUAUUUUAAGCAGGUGAGCCACAAUGCUAACAGUCAGGCUUUGCAGGGUUGGAGCUGAGGUUUUACCAGGAACAGAAGCCAGAAACUGCAGGAUUGGAGUUGUUUUGUCCCUAUGUUAAGAGCUAAAAUGAACAGGAUUGGAGCAGAUUUGCUAAAAUGCUAACAGACAGGUUUAGCAGGGUUGGACCAGGUUAGCCAUGAUGCCAAGAGCUGGGCUCAGCAGAGGAGGAGCUGAGAUGCUACCAGAGACAGCAGCCAGGAAUGUUUGGAGCCACAGUGUUGAGUUCACAGCUGGGCUCAGCAGUGUUUGAGAGGGUUAGCCACGAUGCUAACAGACAGAUUCUGCAGGGUUGGAGCCAAAAUGCUAACAGACACAGCAGCUGGACUUGGCAAGGAUGAAGGUGUUUAGCCUGUUAUGCUAACAGCUGGACUUUAGCAGGAUUUGAGUGAUGUUGCAUGGUGCCUGGUGUUCCUUU